CAGAGCRACAGGUGSUGCAUGGUUGUCGUCAGCUCGUGUCGUGAGAUGUUGGGUUAAGUCCCGCAACGAGCGCAACCCUUGAUCUUAGUUGCCAGCAUUUAGUUGGGCACUCUAAGGUGACUGCCGGUGACAAACCGGAGGAAGGUGGGGAUGACGUCAAAUCAUCAUGCCCCUUAUGACCUGGGCUACACACGUGCUACAAUGGAUGGUACAAAGGGCUGCAAGACCGCGAGGUCAAGCCAAUCCCAUAAAACCAUUCUCAGUUCGGAUUGUAGGCUGCAACUCGCCUACAUGAAGCUGGAAUCGCUAGUAAUCGCGGAUCAGCAUGCCGCGGUGAAUACGUUCCCGGGCCUUGUACACACCGCCCGUCACACCACGAGAGUUUGUAACACCCGAAGUCGGUGGAGUAACCGUAAGGAGCUAGCCGCCUAAGGUGGGACAGAUGAUUGGGGUGAAGUCGUAACAAG
rnacentral:rRNA from 1 species